rnacentral:rRNA from 1 species
UACGUAGGGACCGAGCGUUGUCCGGAAUCAUUGGGCGUAAAGAGCGUGUAGGCGGCCUUUUAAGUCUGCGUGAAAUCCUGCGGCUCAACCGCAGACGGUCGUGGGAAACUGGAAGGCUAGAGUGCGGGAGAGGAGAGUGGAAUUCCCGGUGUAGCGGUGAAAUGCGCAGGAUAAUCGGGAGGAACACCUAUGGCGAAGGCAGCUCGCUGGGACGUUACUGACGCUGAGACGCGAAAGCGUGGGGAGCAAACAGGG